GCGGAGGAAAAGAAACUAACAAGGAUUCCCCUAGUAACGGCGAGUGAAGCGGGAAGAGCUCAAAUUUGAAAUCUGGUAGCCUUCGGUUGCCCGAGUUGUAAUCUAGAGAAGUGUUUUCCGCGUUGGCCCAUGUACAAGUCCCUUGGAACAGGGCGUCAUAGAGGGUGAGAAUCCCGUCCUUGACAUGGACCCCCAAUGCUUUGUGAUACACUUUCAACGAGUCGAGUUGUUUGGGAAUGCAGCUCAAAAUGGGUGGUGAAUUCCAUCUAAAGCUAAAUAUUGGCGAGAGACCGAUAGCGAACAAGUACCGUGAGGGAAAGAUGAAAAGCACUUUGGAAAGAGAGUUAAACAGUACGUGAAAUUGUUGAAAGGGAAACGAUUGAAGUCAGUCAUGCUCUUUGGAUUAAGCCGUUCUGCGGUGUAUUUCAUUGAGCGGGGUCAACAUCAGUUUUGAUCGCUGGAAAAGGGCAGGAGGAAGGUAGCACUCUCGGGUGAACUUAUAGCCUCUUGUCGUAUACAGUGAUUGGGACUGAGGAACGCAGCAUGCCUUUUGGCCGGGAUUCGUCCACGUACAUGCUUAGGAUGUUGACAUAA
rnacentral:rRNA from 1 species